GCGACAAGCAGAGUCCUUGAAGGAGAUACAAGAGGCCUUAGGACCAAGAAUCCUGUUAAUGUCAUUCCUGUUAUAGAGUUCAUAGUCAAAACCAUCAGGGACAGUGAUGGUCUUUGAGGGAUCACCAUCUUGAACAAUGAUAAGGUGAUAAGGCUGAAAGAAAGGCCUCCACAUUUCCAAGAAAUCGAGGUUCCUUAUUGUGGGAAUCACAAUAUCAAGCUCAUCCUUCAACAAAGGCACUACCUUUGUCGCUGCCUGAGUAUCUCUUGCAGGUUCUACCAUUUUGAAACAGAGAGAAGAAGAAGCCUGUAGGAAGGGAUGUGAUCGUAGAAGAAGAGGAGAAAUUAGAGGGGUAUAUAUAUAUAUACAAGGAGGGAUGAUGGGUGGCACGUGCGAAGCGGAAAAAGCGGCAGGGGUAGAGGAAGAGUAGGAGACGUGUCUGAGUUUUGCUGGGAAUGAGGACUUAUUCAAAGAACAGAGGGGAGGGUGCAAGGAGCUUCAAGCUUGGAGUUGAAGGGAGAGGAGACUUUUUUAUUUUAUUUUAUUUUA
rnacentral:misc_RNA from 1 species